AAAGAAAAGGCUCCUUGAUCAUACCAGUGAUUUGGGAGCGCCUGGUGUAUUCUCCAACGCAGGCUUCAGCUCUGCUUUUUAAGAACUCAUCUGGAAGAAAAGUGCUGGUGCAAUGGGACUUUCCUGCAACCUCAUUAAUCUGUGUCACCACUGUCAGUGAGAGCUUCUGCUGCCUGGUUGCUGGGAGAUGGAAUAAAUUCAUGCUUCAGAAUACCUUGGGCUGGCAGGGAAGUGUUCUUGUGCUCAGGUCCUGCUUGCAGGCUUUCUGCAGGCAUCUGUUCUGCCACUGUGAGAACAGGACGCUGGACUAGUUCAGCAAGCCCUGCUUACGUUCAUAUGCUUGAAGCAUCUAGCUCUCCCCAAUAUCCUGCUCUGUGCUUCCAGUCAUCAUCCACAU